GUGCAUGCCACCAGACGUCCGCCUGAAGGGUAACACACGAUGCAAGUUAGCAUUAAGCAUGUUACCAGAUGAGGUGUUGGACAAAGAAUGGGACGUGAUAAUGAUAGACGCGCCGCGAGGGUAUUUUGCAGCGGCACCAGGGAGGAUGGGGGCAAUAUUUUCAGCUGCAGUGAUGGCACGUGCAAGGACACGCCAAGGUGUGACUCAUGUAUAUUUGCAUGAUGUGGAUAGGAAGGUGGAGAAGGUUUAUGCAGAGGAGUUCUUGUGCAAGAAGUAUUUGGUGAAGGGCGUGGGGAGGCUUUGGCAUUUUGAGAUUCCAUCUCUUGCAAAUAGGAGCGAUAGUGAUGCUUCUACUAGUUUUUGCUAAACU
rnacentral:misc_RNA from 1 species